CGGACGGGUGAGUAAUGUCUGGGAAACUGCCCGAUGGAGGGGGAUAACUACUGGAAACGGUAGCUAAUACCGCAUAACGUCGCAAGACCAAAGAGGGGGACCUUCGGACCUCUUGCCAUCGGAUGUGCCCAGAUGGGAUUAGCUAGUAGGUGGGGUAACGGCUCACCUAGGCGACGAUCCCUAGCUGGUCUGAGAGGAUGACCAGCCACACUGGAACUGAGACACGGUCCAG
rnacentral:rRNA from 1 species